rnacentral:misc_RNA from 1 species
CAGACUUUAAGGAGGCUAAAACUUUCUAGCCAUUCAACUUCACAGCCACCAUUUGGACUCCACCAAAGACAGAACCACCAAACCCACAUGCAAACCAUACGUCUACACAAACCCAAUAUCCUCAACAGCUCAAACAGUGAAAUUCAAACAAAACAAAAUCUUGAAGCCCAGUUGAAGAAUUGCUUCACUCAAGAAUGAACAUCAUCAAGCACAAAGAGCUUACGGUGUAAACUCAACGUCAAACUAGCAAUCAAGGGAGACUCAACAACCACUGUAGGCGCCGUUACUUCCAUCAUCGUUGCCAUUCAAGCGAGGACUUUUCCCUACAAUGGCAAACUCGAGAAACCAGGCCGGAGUGACCCCAACGCCAUCGAAGCCCAACAGCAUCAUCACAAUCGCAACAUCAUUGCAUAAUGCCAAACAUUUCCUACUCGCAGUGACUUCACAAUGCGAUGUAUUGAGGGAGCUCGAUAACAUGGGAGGCGAAUAAUGGUGGUGAUAAGGCAUUUGGGAGGCAUGCAGAUUUGUGGCUUGCAGUUGAAAAUGGAGAGGUUACAGAAAACGAU